UCGCUAGUAAACGUAAUUCAAAUCAAACCAUGGAAAGGGUGACUCGGAUGUUCUUAGUUUUUCCCUUUCACCCCAAGUAGUAACGUGUGAGCCUAAGGAGGCUGCUGUACUGUGGUGUACGGUUUUUUUUUUUCUUUCUUUCUUUCUUUCCACAACGCCAUAACUGCAAAACGCGUGGAAGGAGGAGGGGGAGUGAAAUAGCUGGGACCGCUCCUGGGAGCGCCCCCAACCGGCUUGUAGUGGACACUGCGUUUCCCGGUUUGCCCGUCCCCCCUCCCCCCCAACCCUUCUCAAACGCAGCGAAAGAAAAGUUGUAUUAAUUACAGCCAAUCGCCUUUCCCGGAGUUUUUUUUUCGCCCGCUAAGUUGCUGUAAAAGGAAGCCCACUUCUCGCUAAACGUGAUUUGCACCAUUGCUUCAUAAACUGCUUCCAGCUGUCUUCCUAUGUUUGUGUAUGCACAGCCAUUUUGCUUCAUUGGGAAGAAAGAAAGAUGGAAAGGAUCAGAGUGCUGCACUUAUCUCCACAUUGAGUUUCUAAUGUGACAUACAUAAAAUUCCAUUGUAAUAUUAUUUGCGGUUGGAAAAAAAAAUAAAACAACUGAGUUAAAA